GGGCAGUUGGAAGUUAAUAAAAUCUUGUGGUCUUAUUCUCACCCUAAGCAGAAUACUCUAUCACUCUAGCUUUGACUGGGACCUAUCAGUAGGCGUAGGAUAAGCUAUUAAAGACGAAUACGGCAAAACCUACUCAGACUAAAAACUCACUGUUUUUUUUCUUUCUCCAUAUCGUGACUACCAUCAGAUGGGAAUCAUCUUCCUGGUCUGCACCAUCAUCAUAAUGUGACAUGGCUUUUCAAGGAGUGGCACAUGCGAAGGAUGGUUAAUGGUCAUAGUACAGUUAAGAGACAAAUGGUACUGAAGUAUUCAACGUUUUUUUUUGGACUUUUCUGGUAUAUAUAUAUAUAUAUAUUGUGUACCUUUUUUCCUAGUAAAAAUUUUGCAAAUGUAAACAUCGAAUCAUAGCCCUGAAAUUUUUGUUGCAAAAAAGAAAAAACCGCAAUCCAAGAGUUAAACGUGGAGACUGGAGCAUAAACGAAUCUCUCUCUCUCUCUCACAUUGAAUGGAUGAGUAGUGAGGUCCUGUGAACUCUAAUCAGAUGGAUAGCAUGAACCAGUUUGCUGCUGGUUUCCCUGCAUUUGUUGUAAGUUAUAACGUCUAGGUCAAAUGUGCUUUGGGCUGGGUUCGCACAACGAAUUGGUAUUAGAAAUUAUGGUUCACAACCAGAAGGCCCAGCAUCAAUGGUACAACUCAUUGGAAGGAGGAGACACAACAUUGAGAGAAAUGAGGAAGAUCUUAGCUUCAGCAUGUGCAUGCAAAAAACUUGUGCAGUGGUGCCGGUGUGACGAUGUGUUUUCUAGGGAGCGUCUGGCAUGCAAAGAGCUCACGAUGGCAUCUUCACCUGGUUUUUUCAUAGGAAGUGUCUCGUGUUUUCGUGGGCAGCAUCUGGAGAUUCUCUGACGAGAUGGGUGCAACCCAGUUGUUCGAUCAGCUUGCCCACCAUGCCUUGGAACGCUCUUGUGGAUAGAAUGGUGAGCGAGCUUCACUCACAAGGAAAGAUGAUUGAAGACAUAGCGGGGUUGCUUGAAACGGGAUCCAUUGCAUACCCAUAUCAUCACAACCAUUAAAUCUAGGCAUGCAUUAGGAUAGAGAGAUGUUGAGGAUGAUGCCCGAUUGUCGACAUUUCUUUCACCUCUGCUGCAUUGAUGCUUGGUUGAGGCUUAAUGCUUCUUGCCCUGUCGAAGCUUAUGCCAUUAUCGCAAUAUCUAGGGAAUCGAGGGAGGUCACCCUUCUUGUUCCCUGACAUGUUUUUGUUCCUCAUCAUUUCUUCAACUAUCUAUUUCUUGCAUUAGAGCUAAAUGUAGCCCUCUUUCUCAUCAUAAACCACUGAUCAACGCCAACAGAUGAGGGGUGGGUAGGUUUUAUUCCUCAUGUUCUUUAUUUUAUCUUUUUUUAUAGCUUUUUUUUUUUUUCUUAUUUUCUCUUCAAUAUCUGCUAUCACUAGCAGCAGACUCUAAAGAGGGGAAAGGAAACAAUUAUUUCUUUAAAAAUAACACGAAAAGAAAGGAAUUCAUUUUUUGUAACCUGUUUAGCCUUUCAAUUUUACUAUG